GACGAACGCUGGCGGCGUGCUUAACACAUGCAAGUCGAACGGAAAGGCCCUGCUUUUGUGGGGUGCUCGAGUGGCGAACGGGUGAGUAACACGUGAGUAACCUGCCCUUGGCUUUGGGAUAACUUCAGGAAACUGGGGGUAAUACCGGAUAGGAGCUCCUGCUGCAUGGUGGGGGUUGGAAAGUUUCGGCGGUUGGGGAUGGACUCGCGGCUUAUCAGCUUGUUGGUGGGGUAGUGGCUUACCAAGGCUUUGACGGGUAGCCGGCCUGAGAGGGUGACCGGCCACAUUGGGACUGAGAUACGGCCCAGACUCCUACGGGAGGCAGCAGUGGGGAAUAUUGCACAAUGGGCGGAAGCCUGAUGCAGCAACGCCGCGUGCGGGAUGACGGCUUUCGGGUUGUAAACCGCUUUCGCCUGUGACGAAGCGUGAGUGACGGUAAUGGGUAAAGAAGCACCGGCUAACUACGUG
rnacentral:rRNA from 1 species